rnacentral:ncRNA from 1 species
GUAGCGGUAUCCGAAAAGCUAUAAAGAGUAGGAA